AUUGAACGCUGGCGGUAUGCCUUACACAUGCAAGUCGAACGGCAGCGGGGGAGAAGCUUGCUUUUCCUGCCGGCGAGUGGCGAACGGGUGAGUAAUACAUCGGAACGUGCCCUGUAGUGGGGGAUAACUAGUCGAAAGAUUAGCUAAUACCGCAUACGACCUGAGGGUGAAAGUGGGGGACCGCAAGGCCUCAUGCUAUAGGAGCGGCCGAUGUCUGAUUAGCUAGUUGGUGGGGUAAAGGCCUACCAAGGCGACGAUCAGUAGCUGGUCUGAGAGGACGAUCAGCCACGCUGGGACUGAGACACGGCCCAGACUCCUACGGGAGGCAGCAGUGGGGAAUUUUGGACAAUGGGCGAAAGCCUGAUCCAGCAAUGCCGCGUGUGUGAAGAAGGCCUUCGGGUUGUAAAGCACUUUUGUCCGGAAAGAAAUGGCUCUGGUUAAUACCUGGGGUCGAUGACGGUACCGGAAGAAUAAGGACCGGCUAACUACGUGCCAGCCGCCGCCGUAA
rnacentral:rRNA from 1 species